rnacentral:rRNA from 1 species
CCUACGGGAGGCUGCAGUGGGGAAUAUUGCACAAUGGGGGAAACCCUGAUGCAGCGACGCCGCGUGAGUGAAGAAGUAUUUCGGUAUGUAAAGCUCUAUCAGCAGGAACGAGACAAGACGGUACCUGACUAAGAAGCCCCGGCUAACUACGUGCCAGCAGCCGCGGUAAUACGUAGGGGGCAAGCGUUAUCCGGAAUCACUGGGUGUAAGGGGAGCGUAGACGGCUGAGCAAGCCUGAAGUGAAAGGCGGGGGCCCAACCCCCGGACUGCUUUGGGAACUGUACGGCUGGAGUGCAGGAGAGGUAAGUGGAAUUCCUAGUGUAGCGGUGAAAUGCGUAGAUAUUAGGGGGAACACCAGUGGCGAGGGCGGCUUACUGGACUGUAACUGACGUUGAGGCUCGAAAGCGUGGGGAGCAAACAGGAUUAGAUACCCCUGUAGUC